rnacentral:rRNA from 1 species
UACAGAGGUCUCAAGCGUUGUUCGGAUUCAUUGGGCGUAAAGGGUGCGUAGGCGGCGCGGUAAGUCGGGGUGUGAAAUCUCGGAGCUUAACUCCGAAACUGCAUUCGAUACUGCCGUGCUUGAGGACUGGAGAGGAGACUGGAAUUUACGGUGUAGCGGUGAAAUGCGUAGAGAUCAUGAGGAAGACCAGUGGCGAAGGCGGGUCUCUGGACAGUUCCUGACACUGAGGCACGAAGGCCAGGGGAGCAAACGGG